rnacentral:rRNA from 1 species
UACGUAGGGUGCGAGCGUUAAUCGGAAUUACUGGGCGUAAAGCGUGCGCAGGCGGCUUUGCAAGACAGAUGUGAAAUCCCCGGGCUUAACCUGGGAACUGCAUUUGUGACUGCAUGGCUGGAGUGCGGCAGAGGGGGAUGGAAUUCCACGUGUAGCAGUGAAAUGCGUAGAGAUGUGGAGGAACACCGAUGGCGAAGGCAGCCCCCUGGGUCAACACUGACGCUCAUGCACGAAAGCGUGGGGAGCAAACAGG